rnacentral:rRNA from 1 species
AUUAAACGCUGGCGGCAUGCCUUACACAUGCAAGUCGAACGGCAGCACGGGGGCAACCCUGGUGGCGAGUGGCGGACGGGUGAGUAAAGCAUCGGAACGUAUCCUGGAGUGGGGGAUAACGUAGCGAAAGUUACGCUAAUACCGCAUAUUCUGUGAGCAGGAAAGCAGGGGAUCGCAAGACCUUGCGCUCUGGGAGCGGCCGAUGUCGGAUUAGCUAGUUGGUGGGGUAAAGCCUACCAAGGCGACGAUCCGUAGCGGGUCUGAGAGGAUGAUCCGCCACACUGGGACUGAGACACGGCCCAGACUCCUACGGGAGGCAGCAGUGGGGAAUUUUGGACAAUGGGCGGAAGCCUGAUCCAGCCAUGCCGCGUGAGUGAAGAAGGCCUGGUGUAAGACUCUUCGGUCGGGAAGGAAAGUUAGCACGGUUAAGUACCUACGUGUAGAUGACGGUACCGAAC